rnacentral:tRNA from 1 species
CCAGCGGGUGGAAGAACGGCGCGAUGCCCUGCACGUCGCGCGUGCGGGUCCGCGGCGCCUUGCGGAACCAGGUCUCGUUGAGGGCCAGGACGCUGGCCC